GCAAGGCCUGCGGUGAGGCGCAGGAUGGACGCGUUGGCUGUCAUGAUGUAGGAUCUCCUGACCUAGAACCAUGCCCGGCGCAGGGAGAACAACGAGCUUAUGGACCGGGUGCGGGGGCUGCUGUGCGAGAAAGCCUACCUGCUGGCCCGGGAGCGUUCGCUGGCCCACCUGGUGGCUUUCCCUAGACGUUUAACGGCGACUCCGCCCGGCCUCCCGACUUUUUGAUGCAGGCGUUCUCUUACAUGACUUUCUUCGAGGCUAGAUUCUCGAAAGACAUCCUGAAGGUGGCUUUCUUAAUUAGCUGCCUCACCGAGUGGCGGAGCAGUUCGUAGUCCCCUACAUCGAGAGGGAGAGCCCCGUCCUGGCUCAGUACUAGGGCUUCGUGGACGCGCUGUAGCGGGCCUUGGCCGUUGUGGGUAGGAAACAGUCGGGCCGGAUCCCCGGUGUCUGGGGAGCGGCUGCGGCCCGGGCCCGCGCGAGCCACUUCGCUCCUACAAGCCCGGCUCACUAGUUCCAAGCUGCUGGACUUUGACCCUCGCUGGGAAGCUUGAUCGCCGCCUGUUCUCGCCAAUCUCUGCCUUUGCACUGCCCAGCAACCCGGUCACUGCCCAGGACCUGUUAAAAGUUGAAUGGACCUCCCAGAAUCACGCCGCUGCCACCGCCGUUUCUAGAGACGGCUUUUGGCCACCUUUGAGAAUCAGGGUCAAACUUGGAAGGGCCUGCAUUUGUCACACCUCCUCGGACACUAAUUUGGAUAGUUCAGGCCCAGAGACAGCUUCCCGGAUCCUUUGCACAUGGCCUGCUAUCAACAAUCUUCUACAAUGAUUCUCAGCAUCACCUGGGGAGCUUAUGCAAAAUCUCAAAUUCCUGGGCCCUAUCCCCAGAGUUUCUUAUCGAUUUCCUUGAUGGAGAACUAUCA
rnacentral:lncRNA from 1 species